rnacentral:rRNA from 1 species
UACGUAGGGGGCAAGCGUUGUCCGGAUUUAUUGGGCGUAAAGCGCUCGCAGGUGGUUCGUUGCGUCGUGCGUGAAAGACCCCGGCUCAACUGGGGAGGGUCGUGCGAUACGGGCGAACUGGAGGCCAGUAGGGGGAUGCGGAAUUCCGGGUGUAGUGGUGGAAUGCGUAGAGAUCCGGAGGAACACCAGCGGCGAAGGCGGCAUCCUGGACUGGUCCUGACACUCAUGAGCGAAAGCGUGGGGAGCGAGUCCGG